GUGUGUGUGCAUGUGUUUACGCUGCGUCUGUUCUGUACCUGCCUACAUAAUGAUGAGUUAACCUUCAGGCUAAAUCAGGAACCUUCCCUUCAUUCUUUCCAUCUAUAUCUGCGAUUCUACAAACAAGAAACAACAGAUGAAGGAUGUUACAUUUAUUAAAAUGUAUAAAAUAAAAAUAAAAGACAUUUCAAACACAGCAACCUACGUGAAUGUUUCAGAUCGAUCACUUAAAACGUUAACGGAACCUACAGAAUCGACAGCACUUACAGUUAUACAGGUCAUCCAUUACACAGUAGCUAAUGAAACAUUCUUUUUAAUUCAUUCACCCCAUGAGAUAUUUGGAAUAUUCCACAAGUCACAAGUUCAACAGGAAGAACAAAUUUCCUGAAAAUCAUCAGAAGAAGAAAAGUAUGUUCUCAUUCUCACGUCAUUUUUUUUCUUUAUUUUCCCUGAAGAUAUGAUUUUGUAAUACUGAUUAACAAAGUCACUUUGAGUACAAGUACAGACACAUUAAAAAGGAGAUUAGAUUAGAUUAGAUUAGAGAGUUUUAUUGGCAUUCUAGCCAUAAUAAAGUAUAAAAGUAUACAGUAGAACAAGAUAGCGUUCUCACUCAACAACCUGUAGUGCAAAAUGAGAUGCAGUGCACAAUGGACUAGAUAAUAAAUACAACAACAAGGAUAAUACAAUAAAUACACACACAACAUGAGUGAUGUAGUGUGUACAGCAGUGUAAUGUGUGGUGUUUAGUGAGCAGAGCAUUAUCACCACUUGCAGCGUAGAAGUCUAGCUGCUCCACCUGCGUAUCAGUGUGCUGUCUCGUCGUCGUUGCAGUGUGAGCUGUGCAUCGCACUACAGUCACGCGUCAUCAGUGUGAACAGCAAGGAGCUGAGCGCGCAGGCCUGGACCGCGCCGGUGCUCAGCGUGAUGGUGCCCGAGGCGCUGCACCUGAUCCGAAACGCUUGUGGGCGCUCAGUCAAGAAGUCCAGGAUCCAACUGCAGAGGGAGGGUUUUGUGACUAGUUUCCUUGCCCGUCUUUUUAUUGUAGUGAAAAAAUAUAUAUAUUUUAAGUAAGUCAUUAUUAAUGUCCAUAACGUCCUCAUGGAUGCUAGUGAGCCACAUUUUGUGUGUUUGGUAUUUUUAUGAAAAAACCUUUCAUAAAAAACCCUUUUUACACAUUUAAUCAGAAAAUGCAGCAAAAAUGCAAUUAUAGAUAAUAAUAAUAAUGUGUGUGUGUGUGUGUGUGUGUGUUUACGCUGCGUCUGUUUUGUACCUGCCCACUAGGUUCUAAGUAGACUACAUAAUAAGGAGUUCCUAAAUCAGGAACCUUCCCUUCUUCUUUCCGUGUUUAUCUGCAAAACACAAGCAGGAGCACCAAGAAGCAGAAGUUCUACAGAACGCACCGCUGCUGAUGAGGAUGUGGAAUGUGGUACUGCAGAAAGACACGCUGUCAGUGACUGAUCUCCCCCAAACAGCACUUAUCUCUCCCGCUGAAAGAAGCAGGAAAUGCUGGGAGUCGCUGUUCGCACAAACGGGUUGGAGUAAAUUGCGGUGAGCCACAGAGUGCAAUCCUGAUUUUCAGAGGAAGAGGGAGGAACAAUCUGUGAUGUGAAUUUGAAGUUCCAGAUCAGAAACCACAACUUCAAUGCUCUGAUAAAAAAAAAAAAAUGCUGCACAGACCCACAACCCAGAAACUUCAUUGUGAUUUCGUUGUUUUUUCAUACGGGUUCCAGAUUAAAUGUCCUACAAAAAGUUCAGAACCCUUAACGGUUCUUUGGUUGUGCUUCUAAUGGAAGGUUACAUGUUCCAAGUAAACACUUUUUUAGACGCUAAGGACCAUUAUUUAUGCAACAAACUAUUAAAGAACCCUUAAGAACUUUUUCUCUAAGCGUGUGUAUUAACAGGGUAAGUGUGCGGUAAAAACUCCAAAUUAUUGCUCAUUAUUUUCAUCCUAAUAUCUAGAACCUGUCAGGGGUUUAAUAUUUAGCUUCUGGUACUUGGUAGACUUUUAGAAAAAAGGUUCCUCCAGGGUUCUUCAAGGGUUCAUUGGAUAAUUAAGGGCUCUUGGGUUCCUAAAAUGGGUCUUUUACACUACAUUUUGUAGCUACAUUGCUAUUUCUGUGGUUAUAAAUAACGGCACCUGGGUGAAGUGAUGCAAAAUGGGGUGUAAUGUUCAAAAUAUGCUAACCUAUAAAAAAAGAGAGGCUGAUGAGGGAACGACUGUUUAUAGCUGCUACAACAUAAGUGAGAACAGGAACUAACUGUUUAUGCUAAUUGUAAUUAUGAUAAACGCUAUGAUGUGUCAUUUUCUUUAUAAAUAAUAAAUUGUAAUGGUUGACAAAUUGCUGUGGAAUAAAUAAGAGGAAUAAAAUACUAGGGGACAUGUUGUUAUAGGAAAAUAAUCAACUUCAGCACACCAUCCUGCCACUCAGUAUUUUACCAUAACAUCAUAAAACUCUUCUACCGAGUCUGUGUGUGUGUUUCACAUCAGAGCAGAUGUCAAAUCUAAACUGUUAUCUCAUGUCUUUCUGCUCUAAUCUAAUGUAAUGGUCUCACCAGAAGAGCAGAACACCCGUCUGAGCCAGAGAACCCUGAGGCACAGGUUUAAUAAAGCUCAUUACAGACGUACAUCCAGAACACUGUUAUUUAUAAACUCACCUCAUAUGUCUGUGUGACGCAUGAGAACACACGACACAUGAUGGUAGAUAGUGUACAAUGCUUACUACUUAUCUAACAGAGAACAUUAUCUGAACAUUCAGUAACGAGAUACAACAUUUACAGAUAUUACAUAUUACUGCUUUCCUAACACAGAAAACCUGACAGUUUGAACGUCCUACACUCUUCAGUUGUCCCUCUUAGAACCACUAAAUGUUCUGUAUACUGUAGGACAAAAAAAUCCUAUCAGAAAUGAUUGAACAGAAUA